rnacentral:rRNA from 1 species
CAUGGGCGGCCGCGUAUACAUGCAUGUCGUACGGUGAACGUAAAGCUUGCUCUGUGGGAUCAGUGGCGAACGGGUGAGUAACACGUGAGCAACCUACCCCUGACUCUGGGAUAAGCGCUGGAAACGGCGUCUAAUACUGGAUACGAGUGGCGACCGCAUGGUCAGCUACUGGAAAGAUUUAUUGGUUGGGGAUGGGCUCGCGGCCUAUCAGCUUGUUGGUGAGGUAAUGGCUCACCAAGGCGUCGACGGGUAGCCGGCCUGAGAGGGUGACCGGCCACACUGGGACUGAGACACGGCCCAGACUCCUACGGGAGGCAGCAGUGGGGAAUAUUGCACAAUGGGCGCAAGCCUGAUGCAGCAACGCCGCGUGAGGGAUGACGGCCUUCGGGUUGUAAACCUCUUUUAGCAGGGAAGAAGCGAAAGUGACGGUACCUGCAGAAAAAGCGCCGGCUAACUACGUGCCAGCAGCCGCGGUAAUACGUAGGGCGCAAGCGUUAUCCGGAAUUAUUGGGCGUAAAGAGCUCGUAGGCGGUUUGUCGCGUCUGCUGUGAAAUCCGGAGGCUCAACCUCCGGCCUGCAGUGGGUACGGGCAGACUAGAGUGCGGUAGGGGAGAUUGGAAUUCCUGGUGUAGCGGUGGAAUGCGCAGAUAUCAGGAGGAACACCGAUGGCGAAGGCAGAUCUCUGGGCCGUAACUGACGCUGAGGAGCGAAAGGGUGGGGAGCAAACAGGCUUAGAUACCCUGGUAGUCCACCCCGUAAACGUUGGGAACUAGUUGUGGGGUCCAUUCCACGGAUUCCGUGACGCAGCUAACGCAUUAAGUUCCCCGCCUGGGGAGUACGGCCGCAAGGCUAAAACUCAAAGGAAUUGACGGGGACCCGCACAAGCGGCGGAGCAUGCGGAUUAAUUCGAUGCAACGCGAAGAACCUUACCAAGGCUUGACAUAUACGAGAACGGGCCAGAAAUGGUCAACUCUUUGGACACUCGUAAACAGUGGGUGCAUGGUUGUCGUCAGCUCGUGUCGUGAGAUGUUGGGGUUAAGUCCCGCAACGAGCGCACCCUCGUUCUAUGUUGCCAGCACGUAAUGGUGGAACUCAUGGGAUACUGCGGGGUCAACUCGGGAGGAAGGUGGGGAUGACGUCAAAUCAUCAUGCCCCUUAUUGUCUUGGGCCUCCCCGCCAUGCCUUCCAAAUGGGCCGGUUACAAAAGCUC